GCCCAGGUGGCGGAAUUGGUAGACGCACUACCUUGAGGUGGUAGCGACGAUAGUCGUGGGGGUUCGAGUCCCCCCUUGGGCACCA
rnacentral:tRNA from 2 species